AACAAAACAAAAAAACACUUUAAAGAAUGAAUGUGACACUUUUGAUCUUUGCCCAGUAAAUCUAAAGGGCAGAAGGGCAAGUUUAACAAAUGAACAAAGAGUGCUAAGAACUAGAGUGUUUUAUCAGAGUUCAUUAUCAAGGAAGCUCAGUUUUACUUGAGAUGGUAGAGACUCUGAAGGUAUUUGAAGAUGUUCUUUUGGAAUUAAAAUUUACCUGAGACAAGAUGAUUCAAAAUAAAGUGAUUUAAAAGGUGGUAAAAAGAAAACAAAAAGCACCUUCAAGCAAAGGUAUUAUACAUUACAUGGCAAUUAUCAUCUUGCCAUUUGAAGAAUCAUUACCACCUCCACUUUGCUGAAAGUUUUGCUUUGAACACUUGAGGUGAAAACUUGGUCCUUUUGAAGUCAUCAGCAGCAGUUAAUCCAGCAUGAAAAUUGAGUCUACAAAGAUUGGAUCCCAACAGACUAGGGAUUUGUGUCUCCCUCACAAGCCAGAUUCUUCAGCUUUUGUAGAUUGGAAAAGCCAUGUAACUGAAGUCUACUUCGUGGCAAAUGCAUUUGCUCAAAGCUGCAGAUUUUAUAAUUUGAGAAUGUGUGUUAGAAAGUUCGAGACUAAUGAGCAUCUACAUUAAUUUUGGAGUACGGAAGGGAUUUAAUCCUUAAACAGAGAGCAAGAGUAUAUGAAUAUCACUGAGAAACUGCAAAGGGUAAUGCUUUUAUGUGGAUUAAACUAAUUAAACCAGUGUGAUGGAACAAGACUACAAGAGAAGCCUAUUUAAUUCUAUCUGUAAUUCUCUGAAACCAGUAUGAAGCUAUGAUUCAAGUUAACGUUGUUACCAUCGUCCCUAUCUGAGAAGAAACUGUUUCUGUCAAUACUUGAAUGUGAUGGGGAUGAGCAGGAGGAAGAUGUGAAGUCUAAUCUCAGCAGAUGGUUGUCAAAACUGCGCAGAGUGACUGAGAAUGUAGAAAGAAAUAAGAAGAGAGUUUCCCCCAUUUUGUCUUUAUGUCAUGAAUAGUGAAUAAAUCAUACAUUAUAGACAAAUCAAAAAUCGUAAAAACUAGGUAAAAUGAAAAUAAUGAAAACAGUUUUGUUGAAAUGUAUUUUGAAGAUAAAUGUAUGUGAUUACUCAUUGACCUUAAAUGAAUGUUGAUAUGACUGAAAACAGUAAAAAUGGAUAUAUGUGUUGUAUUCAUGCAUUGAUAGUCUCAUAUUGGAGAUAUUACAAGAAUGAUUCAUGUUGACAAGAAAGGAAGAAUGUCUUUCAAGCUGUUACUUAGUUACUGACAAAUCAAGUAUGUCAAUUGGACACUAGGAUGAGCAAAGCAGACUUGUAAAACAGAUAGAUUGCUAUAAGUUUCACUUCUGAUCAUAGCUGGAAAUCUGAAUGUUAACCCAAACUUUCUCUCCUUUUACAGACUUCUUAUUCAUUGAUCUAUACUCUGUGUCUUGAUUUGUGUUGGAAAAUCAUGGAUUAGAAAUGUACUUUCUUAUUUGAAAAAGUUUCUAGAUACAGACCUGUGCUAUUUAUUUUCUGUGUGGUUGGAAUGGACAGAACAAAAAUAGACAUUUGAACUAACGAAACAGGAUAUGUCUACAAGCCUUUUUGAAUAGUGUUUGAUUGCUUUACAAUAUUUUUCUCUGUAAAUGUGCAUAUAUUAUAUUUUGAUGCUCACACAUGCAAAAGUCAUUCCUUAAUGGAUUUUUUUAUAAACAGGCUAGGACUAUGUAAGUGACUUAGUGUCACUACAGAAUGUGUUUGUGGUUAUAGGGUUACUUAACCUCUCGCUUCAGCAGAAUUUAUCUGACUCACAGAAUAGAAGUACUGCAACAUGAAUUUCAAGUUAAGUGGGUGCCUUCGAAUGGUGUUAAAUCAAGGAUUUUCACUGACUCAUUAAUAAAUACACUUUACAUUAAGCACUGUUGUAUUAUAUUUAGUAUAUGUAAAAUACACAUAAUGUAAUUCUACAGUAAUUAUAAUAACAGUAAAGGAUAAAAUUACUUUAGAAACAGAUUAAACUGACUUUCUUCUGAGAUCAUUUGUAUCUGAAUUUCUGCUUUAAAGUGUAUGUUUUUUUUCUUUGUUUGUUUGUUUGUUUUUCAUUCCUUUUGCCAUUCUGAAAAACAGUGAAUUAGAUCUAGUCUGUUCCCAACAAUUUUCAAUUACUAUUGCCUCCUACUCAAAAAGUAAAGAAACUGCAAUUUUUUUAUAUAAGCAUUCUUGUUCAAAAGUCAUAGGUUAAUUUGAAUACUGAAAAUCUGUACACAGCCUUGGCAGCUUAACAGGUAUUUUGAGAACUUGUAAACUAAUUUAUACUAGAAAGAAUAAAAAUUACAAGGGUUACUAAUCUUCAUGCUGAAAUCAUUAAGAUAAUUACCACCAACUGUUUUAUUAUCCAAGUAUAUCAGGGGAAAUGUAGUUGCAUCCUGAAGCAAUGAAUGAAAAAAAGAGUAGGUAUGUAUCAAUCUACAAUUUAAAUGACGUACUGAAAAACAGAUAAUUGUGCAUGUGUCUUGUACUGGUACAUAACUUUCCUAUUAGUAAACUUAAAAGGUUUGUCUAUUAAGUGGAAUACUGUCUCUGCAAGAAUAUCUAUUAUUUCUUAAAACAUUGCCAUGUCAAGUCUCCUUUUCUGGUACUUUCCCCCCAUUGCAGUACUCCUGCAUCUAAUUUGAUUUACAAAUCUUCCUCAAGUCACAUAAAGCUAUUAUUCUUCUGGUGUUUUUUUUUUUUUUUUUUUUUUCCAAUUUAAAAACACAACACUUUCAAAAUCUAUUUGUAACUUUUUUUUUUUUUUUUUUAAAUUCUUGAGUCUUAGAAUAGAAAUGAAAUUCAGGAAUGAUACAAAAGUUGUCCUGAAAGAACAAACACUCACUGUGAUCAUUCACACUGAACCUGUGUCAUCACUCUUCCUAGAUCUUCUCAUGCAAAUAGGUUUACAACUGCAUAUAUUUAGUUUCUAGACUUUUUUUAAAAAAAGAUUAACUUCCCAAACAUUCACUUCUAAUUUCUAAAAUAACAGAAAAGCGUCUAAGUAUUAAGAGUUUGCUUUGAAAAUGGGAUGGAAGAAGUCAACUACUAGUCAACUUUUCUUUUUUCAUGUCUUUUUCCCAUAUUAGAAAUAAAAAAAGUCUACAAGGUAAUGUUUUGUUAUGUUACGCAUCCUUGUUGUGGUAAGGCCCACUGUCAUAAUAAAAACAACCUUAACCCAUGAAACUGUAGAAGCCAG
ensembl:lncRNA